CAGUAGCCGCGGUAAUACGUAGGUGGCAAGCGUUGUCCGGAAUUAUUGGGCGUAAAGGGCUCGCAGGCGGUUUCUUAAGUCUGAUGUGAAAGCCCCCGGCUCAACCGGGGAGGGUCAUUGGAAACUGGGAAACUUGAGUGCAGAAGAGGAGAGUGGAAUUCCACGUGUAGCGGUGAAAUGCGUAGAGAUGUGGAGGAACACCAGUGGCGAAGGCGACUCUCUGGUCUGUAACUGACGCUGAGGAGCGAAAGCGUGGGGAGCGAACAGGAUUAGAUACCCCAGUAGUCCCUGUCUCUUAUAA
rnacentral:rRNA from 1 species